rnacentral:rRNA from 1 species
AGCACUACAACGGGUGGAGCCUGCGGUUUAAUUGGACUCAACGCCGGACAACUCACCGGGGGCGACAGCAAUAUGUAGGUCAAGCUAAAGACUUUACCUGAAUCGCUGAGAGGAGGUGCAUGGCUGUCGUCAGUUCGUACUGUGAAGCAUCCUGUUAAGUCAGGCAACGAGCGAGACCCGUGCCCACUGUUGCCAGCAUAUCCUUUUUGGAUGAUGGGUACUCUGUGGGGACCGCCGAUGCUAAAUCGGAGGAAGGUGCGGGCUACGGUAGGUCAGUAUGCCCCGAAUCUCCCGGGCGACACGCGGGCUACAAUGGUUGGGACAAUGGGCUCCUACACUGAAAAGUGACGGUAAUCUCAUAAACCCAGCCGUAGUUCGAAUUGAGGGCUGAAACCCGCCCUCAUGAAGCUGGAAUCCGUAGUAAUCGCGUUUCAAUAUAGCGCGGUGAAUACGUCCCUGCUCCUUGCACACACCGCCCGUCAAACCACCCGAGUGAGGUCUGGAUGAGGCUGCGGUCGUCGCCGCAGUCGAAUCUGGGUUUCGCAAGGGGGGUU